rnacentral:lncRNA from 1 species
CUCACUUACACAAUGUAAAAUAGUUAUCACGAAAUGCUUGCAAAGGACACAAUUAUUGAUGUGUGAUCUAUCAGAAAUUACUUCUGUGAAACAUUACAAGAUUAAGAAAAAUAAGCAUGAUAUACUUCAUACCACAUUAUUUGGCAGGCAAUGUCACAUGAUAUCAGAUUACUUGAGAAAACAUAAGCUAACAUACGCAUUUAGGAAGACAAUUUCAUAAUAUAUAAAAAUGUAGUACAAAUGGUUGACAGAGGAAUGGGAACUACAAUUUUGAAACAAACUUAACUUCAGGCUUUGUAAGCAUCAGCUUGUAGGCAAAUUAUAUUCAUCAAUGCAGCCAUUUGAAAAGCUAUUUCCAUUCUCGUUACUUUACCAGAGGAUAAGAGCCAGGACAAGGUUAGCUUACUAUUGUCUGCAAUUAUCCAAUGAGAUCGAAUCACGGAAAACAGAAACAUUCAUGGUUAAUAAUAGUAAAUAAAAAAAAUAACAGGUUGUUAUUGUAUCCAUGACAACUUCUACUCACUAAAAACUUAUAUAUAACUUACAAGAACACACCUUAAUAACAGUGUCAUCGCCAGAAAACUCAAACUAUUCUCGGUAAGCAGGCAAUACAAAGCCCUUAAGAAUUUACUAAACCAUUUUUUAGUACCAAGAUAUUCCAUAACUAAACUAGAUGAAGUUUAAGUCUAUAUACAAGUAUCUGCUGCAUUAGCACAUGAGGUGCUUGAUUCUUUUAUUGCAGAAAAUAGCUGAAUGCAGAGAGCCAGGGAAUAGAUGCCUAUAAAGCAUAUACCUACCAACCUAUGUAGCAUUAACUGCUUGAAUAUGAAUGAAAUGCAGCAGAGUGCACAAACUACCAGUCAAACUGUGAAUAACACAAGUUUCUGUUACCUCUAAAAGUUGGUUUCACACAAGAUCAAUAAAGAAAAGGGGAUUAAAGUUUCCUGUCAUGUGAGAAACACCUGAAAUGAAAUGAAGAAUUGAUCAAAUACUGUUCUACUUGCCUUCCAUGUUUUCCCUUUUAUGGAAGCUGUGCUCCUCAUUCCUCAGAGAGCUUUAUUUCCUUUUUUUACGUUUAAUGUCAUCAUAGAAAAUGGGAAACAAUAUGUUAAAUAAAGAUAAAGGGGAGAUUUACAGAACAAUUGCCACCUUACAAAAUAAUAUUAUUAAAUAAAAAAUC